CUGGGUGGAUUAGUGGCGAACGGGUGAGUAACACGUGAGUAACCUGCCCCCGACUCUGGGAUAAGCCCGGGAAACUGGGUCUAAUACCGGAUAUGACCUCGCACCGCAUGGUGCGGGGUGGAAAGAUUUAUCGGUGGGGGAUGGACUCGCGGCCUAUCAGCUUGUUGGUGAGGUAAUGGCUCACCAAGGCGACGACGGGUAGCCGGCCUGAGAGGGUGACCGGCCACACUGGGACUGAGACACGGCCCAGACUCCUACGGGAGGCAGCAGUGGGGAAUAUUGCACAAUGGGCGAAAGCCUGAUGCAGCGACGCCGCGUGAGGGAUGACGGCCUUCGGGUUGUAAACCUCUUUCAGUAGGGAAGAAGCGAAAGUGACGGUACCUGCAGAAGAAGCGCCGGCUAACUACGUGCCAGCAGCCGCGGUAAUACGUAGGGCGCAAGCGUUAUCCGGAUUUAUUGGGCGUAAAGAGCUCGUAGGCGGUUUGUCGCGUCUGCCGUGAAAGUCCGAGGCUCAACCUCGGAUCUGCGGUGGGUACGGGCAGACUAGAGUGAUGUAGGGGAGACUGGAAUUCCUGGUGUAGCGGUGAAAUGCGCAGAUAUCAGG
rnacentral:rRNA from 1 species